GCAGGGAUUGGGGAGUGGUUAAACCCAGCAGACUGUAAAUCUGCCGCCCUCGGCUUCACAGGUUCGAAUCCUGUCCCCUGCACCA
rnacentral:tRNA from 1 species